rnacentral:tRNA from 1 species
GUCAAUUUUAGUUUAAAAAAAUAUUAGACUGUGACUCUAAAGUUAAGCUCAGCUUAGUUGACA